GUUGUCAGGUACGUGUCAUAAUUAUAAGAGCUGCGCAGAGUUCCCGCUCCCUCCAUAUCUGCGUAGUUGGGCGGCAAAUACGCACUGGGAAUGGCGACUGCGCCGUCAAACAGCAGCCGAGGUUUCCUCCUGUGACACAACCUCACGGCCACAACGAGAAUGAUGAAGGUGAGGAAGAAGGUGGAAACGGAGACAAGGGCGAUGAUCAAAUAUGUGGUUAAUUUAGAACUGGGCUCAUCAUAAGACGCAUUAUUAACCUCUGGAAGGUCAGACAAGUUAUCUG